GGGCGGUUAGCUCAGUGGUAGAGCGUCUGCCUUACAAGCAGAGGGUCACUGGUUCAAGUCCAUUACCGCCCA
rnacentral:tRNA from 1 species